CAAACUCAACCUAAACCCUACCAUGUCCUGGUCAUGUUCAAGCUGCACAUUCUUGAACCCUCCUUCCCAAAAAUCAUCCUGUCAAAUCUGCUUAUCUGAUUCACCAUCAUCAAUCUCAUCAGACCCUUCAAUUUCAGUCCAAAAACCCAAAUGGCCAUGUAAAGCUUGUACCUUUAUGAACCCUUAUCAUAGUAUAAGUUGUGAAAUAUG
rnacentral:misc_RNA from 1 species